rnacentral:rRNA from 1 species
UCAAACCCCACUAGCACAAAUGAGCCAACCUAUACACACCCUAUAGAACAAUUAAUGUUAAAACUAGUAACAAGAAAGCACCCCUUUCUCCACGCAUAAGUGUAAGCUAUAACGGACCGCCCAAUAGCAAUUACCGACUGGCACUACAAAUAAACAAGCUGUCAAACUAACCGUUAACCCAACACAGGACUGCAAACGAAAGGCUAAAAGACACUGAAGGAAUUAAGCAAACAAAGCUUCGCCUGUUUACCAAAAACAUCACCUCUAGCUAACCCGACACGUAUUAGAAGCACUGCCUGCCCAGUGACAUUGAUUUAACGGCCACGGUAUU